GUCCUAAAUGCAGUUAGAAUUUAUUUAGAACUACAAAUUAAAUUUCUUUUAGUAAUAAUUGUUUUUUAAUGUCACAAUUCCAACCCUGCUCCUUUAUCCGGGUUUGGACCGGCAAGAGUGACCCGAAAUUGGCACGACUGCGUUACAGUCAGUGCGGGAGCAGCGGCUUCGCUCUUGCGCGAUUCAUUUGCCGUUUGGAGGCAUAGGUGUGAACGUCUCCUGCCCUGAUAGCAGCUGGGGGAGGACUAUCCUCCGCCUGUGAGCGCUUUGGCACGGGUGAAGUGCCCAUGGCAGCGCCGCUGCUUGUUGAGAAGACUCAAAGACACACAAGACCCAGUAAAAGAGCCUGAGAGGAGUUCAGAAGCGCUCCCAUAAAAGAUGCAGGGACUGCAGAGAAGAUCUCCAUGACUCUGACAGAGAUUUCAGUUUUCAUGAAGAAAUAGGACAUGGAGCUUCAGCUGAGAACAGAGAAAGAGAGGGGAAGAGGCUGCCAUCACAGGGUUACGGUUGCAGAGGAGAAAUGAAGGGCAUGGCUUUUCAAGACUGCUAUGUCUGAAAAUGGUCUCUAUUUAUAAAGGCAAUUUCAGAACACCACAUUUUUGACUGUGGGAUGUUUAUGGACCCGGAAUCCAGAGAGUUAUCAUGGCGUGUGCAAAUUCUUUUACGUAGCCCAGCUUAAAUUGCAUUUAAAGAAAGAAGAAAAAAAAAAAGUAGGCAAUUUCAGAAUACCUGUUAGUUCCCACCAGAGUUAAGAGCACAUCUCUGGGUUAUCAUUAUAACAGACUACCUGAACGUGUCACAUUCCUUUUGUCCUUGCUUUAAUUUUUCUUGGACUGCUGGCACUGGGACCGGGCCAUGGAGAAGCAGAAGAAGAUGGAUGGAAUUUGAGAUCAACACAUUUUUGACUGUGUGAUGUAUUUAUUCUGCAUUAAAAUGGACCAAGCACCUCCAGCUCUCCCUCCUAGGUCAACAAAGGCACCCAUCUUCCACCACAAACAACAGGAAGGCCGACACUAGAAGAAGCCUAACAUGACAAAACAACAUGAUCUGGUACCUUGUGCCUUUUUAGUGACACUAUAUCGGUGUGUAGUAUCACUGCAAAAUAUAUGAGUUUAAGACAAAACUGCUGUCAACGAUGGUGAAACUCUACAUUUUCAUGGUUUAGUUUAUAACAUGCAGUCUGUCCCCUGAAGAAACCAUCCCUUAUGCCAUUUUGUGGCCAAGUUGCUGUCUCUGCCUGCUGUGAAGUGCACACACUGGGAUCCUAUAUUAAUGUAAUUCUAGUCUCAUAAAUCAAAUUCAUGCAGCCUGGAGAUGAAAAGUUAGGCAAUCUGGGAAUGUGUUUGGGAUAUUUUUGCACCAGCAUGUUAUUUCUUUUCUUCUUCUUUUUUUUAUUCAUGCAUACAGCCAUAUGUCAGCACUCAUGUUUUUGUUUGUUAUUUGGGCCAUACUGCUUGGACCUUCUGGAGCCGGAAAGGUGACUCGUGGCCCUCAGCUCGGAGAGAAAUACUGCAUUUGACACCCAUUUCUAAACUGCUGAACCACUUUUGUGAAGGUGCUGGAUACAGUUUGGCUGUGGCACUCAACUUCACUCAGACCAAAACAGAAAUGCCAAAAAAACAGAGCUCCAUAUCUGCCUUUUUCACAGCUCCUCGGAGAGUUCUCAAUAAGAUGUGCACUUGUGAGCCACCAAACAUGGAUUCAGUGCAGCCUCUUUCAUCAUCAUACCGAAUUUCCCAGAGGAACCCACCCGAGGGAUUAAUAAAGUUUUAUCUUAUCUUAUCUGACUCAGCUACACCGACAGCCACAGCGUCAGGGAAAAAACGAGGGCGGAUUGUUGGUCUUGAAAACUCCGACUUUGAGCCCGUUUUAGUUGACGAGUGUAAAAUUAGAAAUGUGACUGAGAAGGAAACAGAAUUAUGGCAGGCACAUUCAGAAAACCAUUCAACUUUACAAAAUGUAUACUGUGAAUCUGAAGAAGAGAAGCCUGGAAAGUGUGAACCACCACAGAAUAAGAGGAGGGUCUCUGAUGCCACCUUUACACAAGAUGACAGUCAACCUCUACCACAGACGUGGAGUCAGGACCCUGUUCACUUUCAGUCAGUACACUGAAAAUGAGUUUCAUCAGACUAACCACAAAUGUACGACAGUCAAGAACUUCAGCAGCUCUGAGCCAAGUUUCCUAAACAGUCUGCAGUAUGAGGAGGACGAAGUCUUUAGAAAACUGAUAGCUGCAGAAGGACUAACCUCAACUCAAAAAUCUUUAAAACGCCUUCAUUCUUCUCAUAUGAUUAAUGAGAAGGAAAACGGGACGCCACUGUCUUAUAAUUCCCCAGGAAAAAUCUCCUGUUUCUCUCAUUUCAGACCUGUUUCAAAUCAUAAGCAGACACAACCAAAAACCGCUUCAUGUCGGAAACAAACAGGAUGCAUCUUAAAGGCAUGCGGGGCAGAGGAGAUGAGCGGAAGAGGAAACAGAUAUGGAGGACAGAUAGCGCCAUCGAUAUGUUGCUCAUCAAUGACCAACAAUUAGCAGAAAUCUGGCAACGGACAGUUGGCAAAAGAC